rnacentral:rRNA from 1 species
UACGUAGGUGGCAAGCGUUGUUCGGAAUUAUUGGGCGUAAAGGGCGCGUAGGCGGUUUGCUAAGUCAGUUGUGAAAGCCCGGGGCUCAACCCCGGAGGGUCGGCUGAUACUGGUGGACUAGAGUACGGAAGAGGUAGCUGGAACUCCCGGUGUAGCGGUGAAAUGCGUAGAUAUCGGGAGGAACACCUGAGGCGAAGGCGGGCUACUGGGCCGAUACUGACGCUGAUGCGCGAAAGCCAGGGGAGCAAACGGG